AAUGCUGUCCUUAAUAUCACCGCUGUCAGAACGUUCCCACCCAGUCAGCAAAGCAUCCACUUUCGUGUAGAACGCGGUGAAGAAUUCCGCAAGCCGGUGUCCAGAACAAAUUAUAACCAGCGAGAUGGCAGCUAGCCAGUAUUAUCAUGUGCAGUGCACGCCCACCGUGUACCCGGCCGAUCCUUUCGAUCCCGAGGCGGACGCCAACCUCCUACGAACUGCGAUGAAGGGUUUCGGGACGGACGAGCAGGCCAUCAUCGACGUCUUGGCUCAUCGCGGCAUCGUGCAGCGAUUGGAGAUCGCCGACAAAUUCAAGACAAUGUACGGCAAGGACCUAAUCUCCGAGCUGAAGUCGGAGUUGUCCGGGAACUUUGAGAAGGUCAUCCUGGCUCUAAUGACGCCUCUUCCCGAGUAUUAUGCCAAGGAGUUGCACGAGGCCAUUUCCGGCAUGGGUACCGACGAGGGUGCGCUCGUCGAGGUCCUCGCGUCCUUGAGCAACUAUGGCAUCAAGACGAUAUCGGCCGUUUACAAGGAUCUGUACGACUCGGAGCUGGAAGACGAUCUCAAGAGCGAUACCUCCGGUUACUUCAAGAGGCUUUUAGUGUCGUUGUCUUGCGCCAGCAGGAACGAGAGUCCUGACGUCGACGCGGACGCCGCGCGUCAGGACGCCGAGAGGCUGCACGACGCGGGUGAGGGACAGUGGGGCACCGACGAGAGCACUUUCAACUCAAUCCUCAUUACUAAGAGUUACCCGCAAUUGCGAAGGAUCUUCAAGGAGUACGAACGCAUCGCCGGACACACCUUGGAGCACGCUAUCAAGCGAGAAUUCUCCGGCUCUGUCGAAGACGGCUACCUCGCUGUUGUGAAAUGCGCCAGCGACAAGACUGCUUAUUUCGCGGAAAGACUGUACAAAGCUAUGCGCGGGAUGGGCACGACCGAUUCGACGUUGGUACGCAUCAUCGUGGCGCGAUCGGAGAUCGAUCUGGGCGACAUUAAAGAUACUUAUGAGAGACUUUACGGGAAGCCCCUUGCGGCAGCCAUCGACGACGACUGUUCAGGCGACUACAAGAGACUCUUGCUUGCCCUUCUCGGAUGAAAAUAUUUCUAUCGUGCGACAGACCCUUUUAUUGAAAAAUUAUACUUCAAUGCCGCGGAGACUGCAUAGCGUUUCGUUAUAUUCUGCAAAGAUCUUGGUUAAUUUAGUUCCUUAUGUUACGCUGGUUGUUAACGGUGAAUAUGGUUUUACUCGUGUCAUCUAUGUUUUGCGCUUAGAUCGGUGUGACGCAACGUGUGCAAAACGAAAUUACAAAGUAAACGUGUGAAGAUCGAGUGAAAACCGAUCCAAUUGGCAAAUUGUAUAUUAGCAUAAAUAUUAAAUAUUAUUAAUUUAUUGUAUCCUCACUGUACUAAUUCCAUUAAUUGGUCCAUUCAUCUCUGAUUGCAUGCACGCUUGUAUUACUUGUAUAACGACUGCAGCGACGACUUUAAGCGGCUUCUGAUCGCGCUAUUGAAUUAAAUGAGCUCGAGGAGAGUUACUCUUUCGUUACUAAGAAUCCAAUCAGAUAUUUAACACUGUGUCAAUAAUUCGAAAGCAUGCAAAUGUAACACACACAUUUAUCCGCAAUAAACGUAUAUGCAUUCGCAAAUAUA